rnacentral:rRNA from 1 species
AUUGAACGCUGGCGGCAGGCCUAACACAUGCAAGUCGAGCGGAUGAAGGGAGCUUGCUCCUGGAUUCAGCGGCGGACGGGUGAGUAAUGCCUAGGAAUCUGCCUGGUAGUGGGGGAUAAGGUCGGAAAGUGGGGCCAAUUACGCCAACCGCCCUGAGGGAGAACGGGGGGGACCUUGGGACCUUCGGCCCUCGGACGAGCCUAGGUGCGGUUAGCUAGUUGGGGGGGUAAAGGCAUACAAAGGCGCCAAUCCGAAACGGGUUUGAGAGGAUGAUCGGUCACACGGGAACUGAGACACGGUCGAGACUUCUACGGGAGGCGGCAGUGGGGAAUAGUGGACAAUGGGCGAAAGCCUGAUACAGCCAUGCCGCGUGUGUGAAGAAGGUCUUCGGAUUGUAAAGCACUUUAAGUUGGGAGGAAGGGCAGUAAGUUAAUACCUUGCUGUUUUGACGUUACAAACAGAAUAGGCACCGGCUAACUUCG